UACGGAGGAUCCAAGCGUUCUCCGUAUUUCUUGGGUUUAAAGGGUGCUUAGUCGGCCUAUUAAGUCAGGGGUGAAAGACGGUAGCUUAACUAUCGCAGUGCCUUUGAUACUGAUGGGCUUGAAUGUACUUGAGGUAGGCGGAAUGUGACAAGUAGCGGUGAAAUGCAUAGAUAUGUCACAGAACACCAAUUGCGAAGGCAGCUUACUAUGGUGCAAUUGACGCUGAGGCACGAAAGCGUGGGGAUCAAACAGG
rnacentral:rRNA from 1 species